CAGAAAUAAUACACUGGGGGUUGAAGUGUGAAGGGGAUCAUUGCGACAUCUACAUCAACUGGCAGUGUGUUGUUUUCACCACUGCUCUUCAGACGACUCAGCUUGAAUAUAAAGUACAAAUGGAGCACAGGGCAGCAGGAAAUAUAUUCUGGUCCUCCUUCCUGGUGCUGCUUCUUGUGGCAGGACAGCUCUCAGGUUUGUGUGUUACCUACAAACAGACGGAAAUCUAUGGGUUAAAGGGCAUGUCAGUGGAGUUUGCCUGC